rnacentral:rRNA from 1 species
UGCUCCUAGUACGAGAGGACCGGAGUGAACGCACCACUGGUGUUCGGGUUGUCAUGCCAAUGGCAUUGCCCGGUAGCUAAGUGCGGAAGAGAUAACCGCUGAAAGCAUCUAAGCGGGAAACUUGCCUCGAGAUGAGUCUUCCCUGUCACCUUGAGUGACCUAAAGGAACGUUUAAGACUAAGACGUUGAUAGGCUGGGUGUGUAAGUGUAGCGAUACAUUGAGCUAACCAGUACUAAUGAACCGUGAGGCUUAACCUGACAACACCGAAGGUGUUU